rnacentral:rRNA from 1 species
AGAGUUUGAUCCUGGCUCAGGAUGAACGCUAGCUACAGGCUUAACACAUGCAAGUACGAGGGGAAACGAUAUAGGAAGCUUGCUUUCGUUAGGCGUCGACCGGCGAAUGGGUGAGUAACGCGUAUCCAACCUGCCCCUGAGUAAGGGAUAGCCCAUCGAAAGAUGGAUUAAUACCUUAUGGUCUCCUUUGCAGACAUCUAAUUAGGAGUAAAGAUUUAUCGCUGAGGGAUGGGGAUGCGUCUGAUUAGGCUUGUUGGCGGGGUAACGGCCCACCAAGGCAACGAUCAGUAGGGGUUCUGAGAGGAAGGUCCCCCACAUUGGUACUGAGACACGGACCAAACUCCUACGGGAGGCAGCAGUGAGGAAUAUUGGUCAAUGGACGGAAGUCUGAACCAGCCAAGUAAGCGUGCAGGAAGACUGCCCUAUGGGUUGUAAACUGCUUUUAUACGGGGAUAAAGUCAGGGUCGUGACCCUGUUUGCAGGUACCGUAUGAAUAAGGACCGGCUAAUUCCGUGCCAGCCGCGGC